rnacentral:rRNA from 1 species
AUUGAACGCUGGCGGCAUGCCUUACACAUGCAAGUCGAACGGUAACAGGUCUUCGGAUGCUGACGAGUGGCGAACGGGUGAGUAAUACAUCGGAACGUGCCUAGUAGUGGGGGAUAACUACUCGAAAGAGUGGCUAAUACCGCAUGAGAUCUACGGAUGAAAGCAGGGGAUCGCAAGACCUUGUGCUACUAGAGCGGCCGAUGGCAGAUUAGGUAGUUGGUGGGAUAAAAGCUUAUCAAGCCGACGAUCUGUAGCUGGUCUGAGAGGACGAUCAGCCACACUGGGAGUGAGACACGGCCCAGACUCAUACGGGAGGCAGCAGUGGGGAAUUUUGUACAAUGGGCGCAAGCCUGAUCCAGCAAUGCCGCGUGCAGGAUGAAGGCCUUCGGGUUGUAAACUGCUUUUGUACGGAACGAAAAGCCCUGGGUUAAUACCCUGGGGUCAUGACGGUACCGUAAGAAUAAGCACCGGCUAACUACGUGCCAGCCGCCGCCGUAA